rnacentral:rRNA from 1 species
GUAGUCAUAUGCUUGUCUCAAAGAUUAAGCCAUGCAUGUCUAAGUAUAAACAAAUUUGUACUGUGAAACUGCGAAUGGCUCAUUAAAUCAGUUAUAGUUUAUUUGAUGGUACCUUGCUACAUGGAUAACUGUGGUAAUUCUAGAGCUAAUACAUGCGUCAAAGCCGCGACUUCUGGAAGCGGUGUAUUUAUUAGAUAAAAAACCAACGCGGUUCGCCGCUCCUUUGGUGAUUCAUAAUAACUUCUCGAAUCGUAUGGCCUUGUGCCGACGAUGCUUCAUUCAAAUAUCUGCCCUAUCAAGUUUAGAUGGUAGGAUAGAGGCCUACCAUGCUUUCAACGGGUAACGGGGAAU